rnacentral:rRNA from 1 species
UACGAAGGGGGCUAGCGUUGUUCGGAAUUACUGGGCGUAAAGCGCACGUAGGCGGACUAUUAAGUCAGGGGUGAAAUCCCGGGCUCAACCCCGGAACUGCCUUUGAUACUGGUAGUCUCGAGUCCGGAAGAGGUGAGUGGAAUUCCGAGUGUAGAGGUGAAAUUCGUAGAUAUUCGGAGGAACACCAGUGGCGAAGGCGGCUCACUGGUCCGGUACUGACGCUGAGGUGCGAAAGCGUGGGGAGCAAACAGGG